rnacentral:rRNA from 1 species
UGGGGAAUCUUGCGCAAUGGGCGAAAGCCUGACGCAGCGACGCCGCGUGAGCGAUGAAGGCCUUCGGGUUGUAAAGCUCUGUGGGGAGGAAAGAAUAAGGGUUGGCUAACAUCCAACCUGAUGACGGUACCUCCUUAGCAAGCACCGGCUAACUCUGUGCCAGCAGCCGCGGUAAGACAGAGGGUGCAAACGUUGUUCGGAAUUACUGGGCGUAAAGCGCGUGUAGGCGGCCCUGCAAGUCGGAUGUGAAAUCCCACGGCUCAACCGUGGAAGUGCAUUCGAAACUGCAGGGCUAGAGUCCUGGAGAGGAAGGUGGAAUGCUUGGUGUAGAGGUGAAAUUCGUAGAUAUCAAGCGGAACACCGGUGGCGAAGGCGGCCUUCUGGACAGUGACUGACGCUGAGACGCGAAAGCGUGGGGAGCAAACAG